CGAGCGGGCUGCGGGAGGACCUGAGGCGCGCGGCGGCCGGCCCUAGAGGGGCCUGUCCCGGGGCCCCAAGCAAGAGCCGCCGCAGGAGGAGGCGGCGGCGGCCGGAAACGAGUUCCCUGAGUCCGGAUACAGAGCUGCCAAAUGAGAGAAGCUUCCAGAAUGCUGCUGAAAGCAAUGAUUUGCAUCUUAUGGAGAAGCUGUUUGAAAAGAAGGUUAAUAUUAAUGCUGUGAACAAUGAAGCAUGGCUUGACAGUACUUCACCUUGCAGCCUGGUCUGGAAGUCUCGAGAGCGUGCUCAUGUUGACUCGAGCUGGAGCGGACCAGAGAGCCGAGAGGCAGGCAGGAGGGGAGUGCUGCCCUGCACCUCAAGGCGAAGCGUGGUCACAGCCCUGCGAUUCAGUGCUGCUCACCCAGCCGCCAGGAAUGCAGAGAUCAAGGAGGUGUGUGCAGGGGCUCAUACAAGAUCAAUAUCAGUGCUUUGCAGACAGUAA
rnacentral:lncRNA from 1 species